UACGUAGGGACCAAGCGUUGUCCGGAAUCAUUGGGCGUAAAGCGCGCGUAGGUGGCCAUUUAAGUCCGCUGUGAAAGUCAAAGGCUCAACCCUUGAAAGCCGGUGGAUACUGGAUGGCUAGAGUACGGAAGAGGCGAGUGGAAUUCCUGGUGUAGCGGUGGAAUGCGCAGAUAUCAGGAGGAACACCAAUAGCGAAGGCAGCUCGCUGGGACGUUACUGACGCUGAGACGCGAAAGCGUGGGGAGCAAACAGG
rnacentral:rRNA from 1 species